GUCUACUAAGAUGGAGGCUGGCUAGUGAACUACAUGGCGCAGUUCCACGAUUUUUUACUGAAAUGGCCGGAUUUGAUGAUAACUACCGGUUGUCUUGUGUACGACGGGACAUGCGAACAUGCAGUGCAGUGAUUUGUGCAAGAAAAGAGCGGUGAUGUCGUCGAUAGUUGAGGUUGCAAGAAUCACCAUGGCAGCAGAUAUUCGUGAUACUUUUUGUCAAUUCCCGCCUUAAUGAGGAUUAUCAGUCCCUCGCCAUUAUGUUACAUAUGUGGCAUUUAUAGAAAAACGCAAGAAAAUCAGCAUGUGACAAAGGGCAUUGCCUACCUUUUUUUUGAUAACAGAAGAGUAAAUAGAAACAAAAUGCAUCCCUAAUAGUUGAAUAACAGUGUGAAGAUGACAGGACAUCAGACCUUAGCAGCUAACAACUCUAGAGAACCUGACGUGCAGCUGGAACGAGCAGCUAGUGUUAAUCAGCACGUCCUGAUACCAUGUGAAGAGAACCUUUUGCAUCCCUAACGGAACUAAGUCGGGGUGGAGGCAGUUGAUAACCCGAUGUGGAAUAAAGUGCUACACAUAAGUUACCAAGUCAUCUAAGAGAUAAUAUUUUAUGACCGAUGCAGCUGAAGCAGUCUGAAUGGCAGCUAGAAUGUAGCUCAUCGCAACAGUGGCAUACUUGUUGUUGUUAUUGUUAUCUGUGGAAAAAAUGUCUAGUUUAAUAUUUUGGUAAGAUAAAAUAGUAUUG